GUCUGUCCCAGUGUCUAUUGCAGUGUCUAAGCCCUUCGUAUUCCUGUGCUCUCGUACUGCUUGGUUUCUGAUUUUCAAAUGUUUAUCUGUGGAUUUUGCAUGUUCUUCCCGUGUCUGCGUGGGUUUUCUCCCGGUGUCCUUGUCUCCUCCCACUUCCCAAAAGCAAUCAUGCAUCUAAAAUAUCCUGCUUGAAGAAUAAUCAGCAGCAGGUGCUAAGCAGAUCCAACCUGCUUACACACUACAAGGAACUUCAAGACAAAAGAAAAAAUACACAUCUAC